AUACGUAGGGGGCGAGCGUUGUCCGGAAUGAUUGGGCGUAAAGGGCGCGUAGGCGGCGCGGUAAGUCUGGAGUGAAAGUCCUGCUUUCAAGGUGGGAAUUGCUUUGGAUACUGCCGCGCUUGAGUGCAGGAGAGGUUAUCGGAAUUCCCGGUGUAGCGGUGAAAUGCGUAGAUAUUAGGAGGAACACCAGUGGCGAAGGCGGAUUGCUGGACAGCAACUGACGGUGAGGCGCGAAAGUGUGGGGAGCAAACAGGAUUAGAUACCCUGGUAGUCCACGCGGUAAACGAUGAAUGCUAGGUGUUGCGGGUAUCGACCCCUGCAGUGCCGGAGUAAACACAAUAAGCAUUCCGCCUGGGGAGUACGGCCGCAAGGUUGAAACUUAAAGGAAUUGACGGGG
rnacentral:rRNA from 1 species